rnacentral:rRNA from 1 species
UACAGAGGUCUCAAGCGUUGUUCGGAUUCAUUGGGCGUAAAGGGUGCGUAGGAGGGCAGGUAAGUCAGUGGUGAAAUCCCCGAGCUUAACUUGGGAACUGCCGUUGAUACUAUCUGUCUUGAAUACCGUGGAGGUGAGCGGAAUAUGUCAUGUAGCGGUGAAAUGCUUAGAUAUGACAUAGAACACCAAUUGCGAAGGCAGCUCGCUACACGAAUAUUGACUCUGAGGCACGAAAGCGUGGGGAUCAAACAGG